rnacentral:rRNA from 1 species
UACGUAGGGUGCGAGCGUUGUCCGGAAUUAUUGGGCGUAAAGAGCUUGUAGGCGGUUUGUCGCGUCUGCCGUGAAAAUUCGAGGCUCAACCUCGAACUUGCGGUGGGUACGGGCAGACUAGAGUGUGGUAGGGGAGACUGGAAUUCCUGGUGUAGCGGUGAAAUGCGCAGAUAUCAGGAGGAACCCCGAUGGCGAAGGCAGGUCUCUGGGCCACUACUGACGCUGAGAAGCGAAAGCAUGGGGAGCGAACAGG